AGGAAGUAAAAGUCGUAACAAGGUCUCCGUUGGUGAACCAGCGGAGGGAUCAUUACCGAGUUUACAACUCCCAAACCCCUGUGAACAUACCUUAAUGUUGCCUCGGCGGAUCAGCCCGCGCCCCGUAAAACGGGACGGCCCGCCAGAGGACCCAAACUCUAAUGUUUCUUAUUGUAACUUCUGAGUAAAACAAACAAAUAAAUCAAAACUUUCAACAACGGAUCUCUUGGUUCUGGCAUCGAUGAAGAACGCAGCAAAAUGCGAUAAGUAAUGUGAAUUGCAGAAUUCAGUGAAUCAUCGAAUCUUUGAACGCACAUUGCGCCCGCUGGUAUUCCGGCGGGCAUGCCUGUUCGAGCGUCAUUUCAACCCUCAAGCCCCCGGGUUUGGUGUUGGGGAUCGGCUCUGCCUUCUGGCGGUGCCGCCCCCGAAAUACAUUGGCGGUCUCGCUGCAGCCUCCAUUGCGUAGUAGCUAACACCUCGCAACUGGAACGCGGCGCGGCCAUGCCGUAAAAC
rnacentral:misc_RNA from 1 species